UGUAUGCACCGUUUGGUACCACUGCUGUGUGAAAUGACUAAACAUUUUAUACUGCAGAUAAAACUAGAUUUAUACUCCCUCGGAUUUCCUUUGAGGUGCGAAAUCAGUUUAGAUUUUUAGAGCUCUAAAUUGUUUGUGUCUGGAUUGGGAAUGAAGAUAACGGUUGUUCGAUAUUCAGUGCCUUUUCAGUACGAUCAUAUCUAAGGAUGUAUCUACAUAAAAACUCGAAAAUCACAGACAAGAAUAAUGAACGUUUCAAGAUAUUAGAACUAUUUGAAAGCAAUAUCAGUUUGUAGAAGAUGAAACAGGUACAAACGCCAUCAGAAAGAAACAAGCAAUAAAAUUAAAAACUUUG